rnacentral:snRNA from 1 species
GGGCGAUCUGGCUGCGACAAAUACCCCAUUGAUCACCAGGGUUGAUUCAGCUGAUGUGGGUGGCUAGGUGGGUGCCCCCUUCCUCCUGGGCGUCCCUCCCGAAGCUGCGCACUCCGUCGAAGAAGACGACCUUCCUCAGUAGAGGAGGAUCGUUCUUCUCCAUCAAGGGUACACGAGGAACUGCGCUCCCCUGCUAGAACCUCCAAACGAGCUUUCGAGAGCUUGUGGUACAAGAAAAAUCCUUGCUCUGAUAUUAUCAUAGAAGACAGAUGAAAGGACAGAGAUUAGGAAGUAAACACAAACGUACACAAUUGUAAUGUAUUGCACUUGU